rnacentral:piRNA from 1 species
UAUACUACAGAGUUGAGUAAAAGGCCUUUU